AAUAGCACGUGUAGUUUAAGAUCCGCCCCAUGGCCAGGGUUAUUGGGACAGUGCUCAUAACACUUACAGGCGGCUAGAAUGUGCCAGUCUCACAUGUGGUUAAGUGGUAAGAUUAUGUAAGAGUUUAUAUAAUCUGCAUUAGUAAACGUGAAUGACAUCUCAAAGCUACAGCCAUUAGCUUGCUCCGUGUGAGAGUGUGUGAGUGCUGACCCUGUGUGAGUCCACCAGCAGGCUGCGGCAGAGGAGAAACACAGAAGGGCGACUCACCAAGUAGCCAGGACGGAAGGUUCCUGCUGCCCAAGCUUGCUGGACCCAACUCCAGUGGUCCCAAUUCCGAUGGUCCUGGAAGACCCGACUCCAAUGCUCUCAAGUCCAAUGGUCCAGGAAUGUCUGACUCUGGUGGUCCCAAGUCUGGUGGUCCUGGAAGACUUGACUCCAGUGAUAUCAAGUUCGAUGGUCCCAGAGAUCCCUGAGCAAGCAUCUCCAGAACAGCCUGCCAUAGAAUAGCCCACUCUUACUGCUGUUGCCACAGAGUCCAUCACUGAGCAACCUGCUCACCUUGUCAUGGCCCACAGAGGCUGCUACAGAGCCGCCCGAUCUCUGCUGCUGCUAUAGUCAAGAAGGCCAUCUUCACCUUUCACCUCAUGGCUGUUCUGUGUGCCUGGGCUGCUUCAAAGUCAUCUCCGGCUUCCCAGGAGCCUGCCUCAGAGUCCACUACAGAGCCUGCUUCAGUCAAGGCGUUCUCAGAGUCUACUUUAGAAUUAUUCACUUCAGAGCCUGCUCCAGUCUGGAAGCCCUAAGAGUUCACUCCAGAGCUUGCUCCAGUCCAGAAGCCUGCUUCAGAGUGUGCUCUGGCCUAAGAGCCAAUCAAACAUCCAGAGUCUCCGGUUCUUCCCUGGCAUUCCAUUCCUGCUCCAUGAGGGCCUACCUGUUCAAUCCAUCCUUCUUUUGCUCUAGCCUUCAGCUCCAGACAUGCCUAAUCCUUCCUUGUGUAUCCCUCUGGCUCUGACCUGGCUCUCAGCCAGGACUCCAGACACAUCUGAGCCUUCCUGGUACGUCCCUCCAGCUCUACCUUGGCCCUCAGCUGGGUUGGGUAGUGUCAGAGUUCUGUCACUUGGGUCUGGUUUAUUCUUGGUUAUGUGACAGAGCCCUGACACUUGUGUAUCUUUUUGUCUUUGUGUGAGCAUGUGGUUCGUGUCCACUCAGGUUGUGAACGCUCUCAUCUAUGUAUUGUCUUUGUUGUGAGCACACAUGUUGAGUGUUCAUUUCCUCACCAUGAGUUCUUGUUAGGUUUUGUGUGAGCACAUGGGUCUGUUUUUAUGUGCCAUGUGCUCUCAUGUUCAUCGUGUAACCCAAUCCAUCUUGUUACCUGAUUAUUACUUUGUUUGAUCCACCUGUCAUCCCUCAUUUCCCUCCUUGUUUGCUUAUUUAUUCUCCCAGUGUUUUAUGUCCUAUGCUAGUUCGUUGUCAUGUGUUCCCUUGUGUUUGCUUUGCAGUUGUUUUCCCCCAUGAUGUUUUUUUGAUUGUUCUAGUUUUCUUUUAUUCUUUAAUAAAACCUGUGCAUGCUGCAUUUGAGUCCUCACCUCAUUCUUACCUUCAAAUGUGACAGUUUUGUACAUGUGGAUUGUUUUAUAAUUACAUUAUUCUAUUCAAGUCUAAAAUGCAAAGACAUCCGUAAGUUAGUCACUUGUACGUAUAACGAAUCCUACAACAUUUUCAAAUGUUUUUCAAAACAUUGCUCUUUUUUAUCCUUACCAGUCUGUCUAGCAACACUGACUCAACCAGUGGCAUGAGUUUGGUGGUGGGGCUAUCAGUAUAAUCAACCACUGACAUUCAAGGGGCAGGUUCUGGGAAACCUGUUUGAAAACAAACAGCACAGAAAUUACACAUGUCAGCUUUAACAGACAGUUGUUUGUUACUCAUUAAUUUAACUGUACAGUCUACACCAAUAGCAAACAACCAUCUAUGCAAUGCAUAUUAAACUUUU